rnacentral:rRNA from 1 species
CCUACGGGUGGCAGCAGUGAGGAAUAUUGGUCAAUGGACGAGAGUCUGAACCAGCCAAGUAGCGUGAAGGAUGACUGCCCUCUGGGUUGUAAACUUCUUUUAUAUGGGAAUAAAAUGUUCCACGUGUGGGAUUUUGUAUGUACCAUAUGAAUAAGGAUCGGCUAACUCCGUGCCAGCAGCCGCGGUAAUCCGGAGGAUGCGAGCGUUAUCCGGAUUUAUUGGGGUUAAAGGGAGCGGAGGUGGAUUGUUAAGUCAGUUGUGAAAGUUUGGGGCUCAACCGUAGAACUGCAGGUGAAACUGGCAGUCUUGAGUCUAGUAGAGGUGGGCGGAAUUCGAGGUGUAGCGGUGAAAUGCUUAGAUAUCACGAAGAACACCGAUUGCGAAGGCAGUUCACUGGACGGCAACUGACACUGAGGUGCGAAAGUGUGUGUAUCAAACAGGAUUAGAUACCCUAGUAGUC